AUUUGAUGAUGGGGGGAGCUUGCGCACAAUUUCUUAAAUUGUUCCUAAUACUCAUACAAACUCUCUCCAUUGUACUGUCAGAUGCCAAAAAUUUCUUUUCUUAUGUU